rnacentral:lncRNA from 1 species
UUCUCUCUCUAAAACAGAAUCCCCCAACCUCUCUCUAGCAACAUUCUCAGAUUCCUACGUGACUGCUCAUGUUGGCCACCGCAUGUCACUGCCGAUCGUCUUGCUCAGCCACAGGUCAAUUUGCGAUGAAGCACAAAUUUCACUUGGAAACUCACCUUGGUCCCCUUUUUAGCAUGAUCUGUUUAGUUUCUUCGGAAACUCGUUAUAUUGGCGUAGGUCUAAGAUCAAAGCCACGGUUUUCUCCCUUUUUUCCACAGCUCCAAUAGUUGUUGCCUCA